rnacentral:rRNA from 1 species
UAGUGGCGAACGGGUGAGCAACACGUGAGUAACCUGCCCUUGACUCUGGGAUAAGCCUGGGAAACCGGGUCUAAUACUGGAUACGACCUUCUGGCGCAUGCCAUGUUGGUGGAAAGCUUUUGUGGUUUUGGAUGGACUCGCGGCCUAUCAGCUUGUUGGUGGGGUAAUGGCCUACCAAGGCGACGACGGGUAGCCGGCCUGAGAGGGUGACCGGCCACACUGGGACUGAGACACGGCCCAGACUCCUACGGGAGGCAGCAGUGGGGAAUAUUGCACAAUGGGCGCAAGCCUGAUGCAGCGACGCCGCGUGAGGGAUGAAGGCCUUCGGGUUGUAAACCUCUUUCAGUAGGGAAGAAGUCGCUCUUUCGGGGGUGGUGACGGUACCUGCAGAAGAAGCGCCGGCUAACUACGUGCCAGCAGCCGCGGUAAUACGUAGGGCGCAAGCGUUAUCCGGAAUUAUUGGGCGUAAAGAGCUCGUAGGCGGUUUGUCGCGUCUGCCGUGAAAGUCCGGGGCUUAACCCCGGAUCUGCGGUGGGUA